UGGGGAAUAUUGGACAAUGGGGGCAACCCUGAUCCAGCCAUGCCGCGUGUGUGAAGAAGGCCCUCGGGUUGUAAAGCACUUUCAGCGAGGAAGAACGCCUAGCGGUUAAUACCCGCUAGGAAAGACAUCACUCGCAGAAGAAGCACCGGCUAACUCCGUGCCAGCAGCCGCGGUAAUACGGAGGGUGCAAGCGUUAAUCGGAAUUACUGGGCGUAAAGCGCGCGUAGGUGGCUUGAUAAGCCGGUUGUGAAAGCCCCGGGCUCAACCUGGGAACGGCAUCCGGAACUGUCAAGCUAGAGUGCAGGAGAGGAAGGUAGAAUUCCCGGUGUAGCGGUGAAAUGCGUAGAGAUCGGGAGGAAUACCAGUGGCGAAGGCGGCCUUCUGGACUGACACUGACACUGAGGUGCGAAAGCGUGGGUAGCAAACAGGAUUAGAUACCCCCGUAGUCCCUGAGCGGGCUGGCAAGGCGCAU
rnacentral:rRNA from 1 species